UCCCAACAUCCUCAUCUGAUGCAGCCAAAAUGCUAGCUUCUACCAGCCUCCCAAAUAAUUCCUUUUUGAUAGCCUGUUUUUGAUGCAAUUUAAAUCCUUCUUACGGCAACUGUUAUAUACUUUUAUAGCGGGAAGUAAUGUAAAUGAGAUUAAAUCAAACUCCAUAACCUAAGCAAUAACCUCUCCCACAUCAAAACACAGCAAAAACAGCCAGGCAAAACAAAGAGAGAAAAAGGACACUUGUAGUGGUAGGCUAAUUAUUCCAAGACUUUUUAAGCAGGCACUGGGAAGAGGCUUCAAAAUUUGGGCCUUGUUUUAAAAGCACAUGGGAUAUAAUGCUGCUUUGUUUGGUUGUGUCUGAAUUUGCCCCCAGAUGAGAUGCAGAUGAGUUCAGUAAUGCUGACUGUGUAUGUUGGCAGAUGCUGGUAUAGUGUUUUAUUCAGAUGUGAAUAAAUGCUCAAACAUUGACUGAUGGUUAUAUCUGCUAUCUUCCAAAGAAGAUUUAAGUCAAUUGCUGUUUCUCCUGUAUUGUUUUUGUUUGGUUCCCUGGCUGGCCGGUCUCAGAGGUGUGUGCUGCAUGGUGGCAGCACAUGGAUUGUUUGUGUAUGAAUACGGUUGGCUGGGGUUUUGUUUUUUGUAUUUCUUUUUUAUAACACGUUCCCAGCUUUAUGUAGCCAGCUUGAUUCUUAGUGCUUGCUUUCUGUAUGUGUGUGGGCCUUUUCUUGUAUGGGAUCUAUGUCUGCCAUGUUUUCUUGAUGUGGUUAUGAGUGAAGGUUUAUGUUUUGAGUUAGUUUUAUUUGAAUUGUGGUGUUUUUUGCUUUUCAGUGUGAAUUAUCAUGGAGAUGCCGCCUUACACUUUGAGGGUCUGCCAUAUGCUAGGAAACUAAUAUAGUAAGAGUGUGAGUUGGCCGUUAACAUCUUGUAGAGCUGGGGCCAAUUUUUAUGUCUGUGUUUUGUGUAUAUCCUUUGUCCUAUUUUUGUAAUAAAUCUUUGUACCUUGAGUGACUGGAAAUGUUUCUCUUUCAACUCAUUUUGAAGGAGUGGCCCAGUGGUACACAAUGACGCAUGUAUGCCCUGCUCUGUGUUGGGCUCAGCUGCCGGACCCAUGGUCCACAUUGGAUGAGAAAUAUUAGUAAAUCCUGUACAUAUCAACCCAUGAAGACACCCAUAUCUACAGAUAUGGUAGUUUGCAUGCGUCCCAACCAACAGUUCCCAUUAUGCAUACGGUCAAGAGGAGCUGUAGGUGUUGGGUUCCUCCCUAAAUCUGCCUGCCAAGACACUUUAGAUGCUCACCAUUCCAGAGUUAAUUUGCUUUCCCCCUGUAAUACUUCUGAAUAGGACUGCAAAUCAUCUAUUCUGGUAUUGAUGCACGUUCCCUGUCUGGAACAUUGCCAUUCGAUGACAUUUUCUGGUACUGUUGGGAUCUCACAGCCCUCCAGACACUGCCCCUAUGUGGCACAUGUUAUGCUCCCCAGUCUUACUAGAAGGAUGUCUCACUGAUUUAGCUUUAAAUAGUUCAAACCUGGGGGAUCUGUUUAGUGCAGGUCACGCCUCAUGCUAUCGACACAAUGUUUCUGCUUAUUUGUGACCCAGCAAUUACUCUGCACUUUCUUUGUGGUCCGAUGACACUGAAAUUACCAUAGACUGGAAAGGGAAGCCAGUAGGCAUUCCAGAGGAGCACCGCACCUUAUCUGGAAGCUCCUCAGCAGGAUGGCCAAUUCUUCUUCCAGGGGUACAGUGUUCUGUGCAGAGCCAUGUCCAGUCCCCUGGUCCAGUGCAGGCCUGACCGCCACCAACGCACCUCUCCUGCCAGCCCACCAUAAAAGGCAUAGCCUACAUUCUUGAUGCCCCACACAGCCUAUGCACUGCCUGCACUAAACUGGACAGUUUGAGACAGACCUGUCUGACAACCUCUGGCACUCCCACAAUCUCGGCAUCUCACUGCCCCGGCACUGAAUGUCCUAUCCGGCCCUGCAUCAUCUGUCACCUGGACCACCUUGAUGGAAGAAAUGCAUCCACUGUCACUCAUCCUUGUGCAUGCUAAUAUUGUUCUUUAUUAUGGAAUAUGGCUUCAUGCAUUUUUUGAUACUGACUACCCUCUGGACAAAGGAUUAUCUCACUGAAUACAUACAUAUAUGCUACAGGACUCCAUUUUGGUGGCUCAUCAUGGGACAUAUCCAACAACAAGCCCAGCACCAGUAGUGCAAAGAUUUCAUCUGCAAAAGGCUAGGAAGCCAUUGUCUCCUCGUCAAGCGCAGACUCUGCCCUUAUGUACUCAGGUGUUUGGGCCUCUCUAGGUGGACGGCAGCACAUUUGCUCUCCCUUGCCUUGCUGGAUUUACUGUAUACAUCGCACCCAGUAUUGAUGUUGGACAUAGUUUGCUUUUUGCCCUCGGUUGCUGGACAUUGCUGUUGAAUGUUUAUCUUGUUUGUCAAAUGCACUUUGGUGACCCUGGUGAAACCGAACUCACUGUUGUGCUAUACGUGGAAUUUUUCGUUGUAUUUGGCUAUAGAGGGUUUUUCGCCCACUCCUGGUUCACCUUUUUGAGAAUGAGAAACGCAUUCAGAGGGGGGAGUAAUGUUGAUUUCCUAAAUCAGGGUGUCGAUUAGGUGUAAUUAUAUUUGGCCCGCGCAAUCAUAUCAAAUGUGCAUUACAGCUGGCUGGCCGCAUGCUCCGCUAAUACUACAAAUCCCAGAAUGCCUUGUCACUGUAUUGACAUGUAGUCACGAACAGC